rnacentral:rRNA from 1 species
CCCUGUCCUGUGUUGCCAGCAUGUAAAGAUGGGAACUCACAGGAGACUGCCGCGGAGAACGCGGAGGAAGGCGGGGAUGACGUCAAGUCAUCAUGCCCCUUAUGACCUGGGCUACACACGUACUACAAUGGGAUGUACAGAGGGCAGCGAAGCCGCGAGGCGGAGCGAAUCCCAUAAAACAUCUCCCAGUUCGGAUUGCAGGCUGAAACCCGCCUGCAUGAAGUCGGAAUCGCUAGUAAUCGCAGGUCAGCAUACUGCGGUGAAUACGUUCCCGGGCCUUGUACACACCGCCCGUCACACCACGAAAGUCAUUCACACCCGAAGCCGGUGGGUUAACCGCAA